rnacentral:lncRNA from 1 species
AGGUGGAUGAAAAUGAUUUGAUGAAAACAAUGACAGUGUUUUAAACAGUUCAAUGAUAAACUGUCAUAUGACAUUAUGUCAAUUUAGAUGUCAACAAAUGUGGAACUGUAGCAUGACUGAAAGGGAGGAAGAGAGAUGGACGUCGAGAGGAGGGCAUACACAUUUACUGACGAACAAAACCCAUGGCCUAAGCUGUCUCUAUCUCUCUCAAAGUCUUCCUCUUUCUUAAUCUUCAGCUUUCAUAUGUACAUAUUCAUAAGUGCAUUUCAUACAUCAAUCUUCAACCAAGGAAAAUCAGAUUUCUUGUUGAUUGAAAUCUUCAAAGGUAAGGUAGUGCACGAUCUCUCUCUCUUAAUUUGUGAGUAUUACUGAACUCCUAACUAGUUUCUGGUGGAAAGUGCAAUGUGUUCCAAACUAUUCAUUGUUUUCUGAUAAUAAAUUGUUUGUGACAGUACUUACAAAGGUAGCGUGAAAUCAUGUUGCAGAAGAAUCUGAUGGAGGAGAAGCAACAGCUGAAUUAUGACCAGCCACUUCUGUCGGUGAGAAGAUUCUCGCCAAUGGUAGCCUCAGAGAAACAUAAUGCAAGGAAAGCAGACAAAUCCCUCCCUGGUAUACCUCGGCUUCCUCUUUAUAAAACAGAAUUGAAAUCGGGUCCUGUAACGAAUCCAGGAACGGUACCUUUUCUCUGGGAACUGCGCCCUGGACGACCGAAGGAAGAGAUGAAACCACAGAGUGAAAACUCUGACAGACUUCCGAUUGCCCCGAAACUUCCUCCUGGGAAAUCUUCGAUAGUCAAUAAGAGCCAAGCAAUAAAUGUUGAAGCGGUAAACAAUUUCGAGAGAUGUAACAAAACAAUAGAGAAGGAGACUUUUCAUUUGGGGGAUAGUGAUGAAGCAUAUGCCGAUGCACUCGAUACAUUCUCAAGCACUGAAUCAAUUUUCUUUAAUUGUAGCACGAGUGGCUUAAGUUCAUUGGAUGAACUAGAGGUGAAACCAUCUGGAACUUUUUCGACGGAUCCAUUGACAAGAGAAUUCAUGAUGGAGCGGUUCCUCCCUGCAGCAAAGGCUAUGGCAUCAAAGACACAUUUAUAUGCCACCAAAAAGCAAACCAUAGUCCAAGAAAAACCAAGAGAAAUAAAGAUAUUAAUUAAUCCAGAUAAGCCUUCAAUGCAGCACGGACCUAGUCUUGUAAAGCACUAUUUACAAUUCCAAGACAAUGAAGAGGUAGAAGAAGAAAGUGACGAGGAUUAUGAUCUAAACGGAAAUUUUCCCGCAGUUUGUGGGUUACUACCGCGGUUCUGCUUAAAUCACUCGUUCUGUCUCAUACAUCCUGUAACUGCAACGAGCACGAGGACCCGAUUACCAAAGUCUUCGGUUAAUAAAUUGCACGACAGAUCUUCAGCUGCUACUUCUUAUAGUAAAAGAGACGCUGAGGUAAAAAAAAAAAAACAAAUCAUAGUUUUCUUUCUCGUGUCCCCCUAUGUGCUUAUGUUUCCUAAUCUUCGUCCUGGGGUUUUUGAUGACUAAGUUGUAUAUUGGCUGCAGUCUAGGUCUAAUUUUUCUGAUCGAAAUUCCGUUGGUACUCAGAAUAGUUUGAGAACUGACUUCAAUUCAAGUAGCCGUCAGAGACAGAAUCCUGAUGGAUCAUUUCUAGGCAAGCAACUAGAAGAACACAGCACAUCAAAAUCAUUCGAUAAAUCGCCUAAUAAAGAAAAAGGAGUCAUCAUUUUUCCCAAAGAAUCAAAGAAUCAGGGGAUUAAUGGCUUCGGAUCACAUAAAAAGGGCCAUAAAACCUUUUGGGAUUUCUUGUCUGAGAAGGACAGUUCAGAGGAAUCAUGUUCAGGAAUUCCUGUUCUGGAGAGAACUCUGUAUCUCGACGCUGUACAGAAAAUAAAAUCUCCGAUCAGGGAACCUUUUUCUCCCAAUAUGCAAGGGUCGAAGGAACAGCCUAGUUCGAGUGAAAAAGAGUAUAAAGUUGUCACUUCCCCUUUAGUAGAUUGUUCUCUUAAAGAUACCGAUGCGUUGGAAACUGUAUAUGGAGCGAAAUUACUGCCUCACUCUCAGAAAUAUGACAUCAUUGUAGAAUCUUCAACCAGCGUUUCAAAUCAAAAAGGCAGAAGAGAGGCAUCGAAGGAUUCAGCUACUGCUGCGAAUGAUGAAGUGACUGAUAAAAAAGCUGCCGAAAAUUUACAGAACUCAAAAACAGAAAAUCUAGAAAACUUUCACCAUGCUGGAUUUCAGUUUCCCGUCACCCCACCUUCGCCAAUAUCUCCAUCCGAGUCUAGGCUUCAACAAACUGUGCCUUCUAUAUCCACAGAGAAUUCAUGUAAACGAUCCCAUCUUCGUGCAGCAGAAUAUCCUCAAAAACAAGUUUCCAAGGUGCUACCAGCAGAUCUCAAAUGCGAAACUCUUGUUAAAACUACAAAGGUGCAGCAGCAUUAAUUUUUGUUAUUCCGAGGUGAAUUUGCUCAUCACUUUUACUAAUUAAAAUCAUUCUUUAACUCGUUUCAUAUGUUUAUGCAGGAUAAAAUCAGAUCCUAAUAGGAGCUUUUGACUGCAAUCCUCCGGCUCGUAUUCAGCCAUUCUGUUGCCAAAUCCAUUGGCCCUUUCGGUAAUUAAGUGUCAUAGUCAAGAUUUUUCACUUGUAUAGCAUUUAGAUUUGAGUGCUACACAUAAACACAUGUAAAUAAAAACAUAGGGGAAAAAUAAUACAUAGAUCCCGAAAGCUUUGUAUAUGAUUUACAUUGCAUUGUGCUUAAGACACCCCAAUGUGAGAGCUACGUCUACAAAUUAAGUAAUUUUACGAGAUUCUUGAAAGGCAUCCUAAUUAGUACUUGAAUGUAGACCUGGAUGUUAUGGGAUGGAAUUGUGGUUAAUAAGAUUUUUUUGACCCUUUUUUGCUUUUAUCCUAUAAUCUCGUGUCUUCUACGUUGAUGGUAAUUAAAAA